rnacentral:hammerhead_ribozyme from 1 species
AUCCAGCUGACGAGUCUCAAAUAAGACGAAAAGUGCAUCAAACUGGAU